GAAUCCGCYAAGGAGUGUGUAACAACUCACCUGCCGAAUGAAUUAGCCCUGAAAAUGGAUGGCGCUGAAGCGGGUAGCCGACACCAUGCCGUCUGAGUGAGAUACAUUUCAGAUGAGUAGGAGGGCGUGGCGGUUGUAUCGAAGCGUGCGUGCGAACGCGCGUGGAACGGCCGCUAGUGCAGAUCUUGGUGGUAGUAGCAAAUAUUCAAGUGAGAUCCUUGAAGGGUGACGCGGGGAAGGGUUCCACGCGAACAUUGAUUGAGCGUGGGUGAGUCGUGCCUGAGCCGAGUGGUAAUUGCUAAUUACCGGCGAAAGGGAAGCAGGUUUACAUUCCUGCACACGGAUGUGGAGGCGGUGACGCAUUAAUGGGGCGAUGACGUUGGCGGUGGCUCUGGGCAGAGUUGUCUUUUCUGUUUGACCGCUUUGUGCACGCUGUGUGGAAUCCGCUUGUCGGGAGAAACACGCGUGUACGGGCAGAGCGCCGGGGUUUUUCCGGCGUCCAGCUCGCCACCGACGACCCUUGAAAAAUUGCCUGCUGGACAAGUUUCGGCUUGUUUUAUUAAAUCCACGCCGUGGCGUACCGAUAACCGCAUCAGGUCCCCAAGGUGAACAGCCUCUACUCUAUAUGAAAAAUGCAGGUAAGGGAAGUCGGCA
rnacentral:rRNA from 1 species